UACGUAGGGGGCAAGCGUUGUCCGGAUUUAUUGGGCGUAAAGAGCUCGUAGGCGGUUGGGCAAGUCACGUGUGAAAUCUCCACGCUCAACGUGGAGGCGCCACGUGAGACUGCCCUGACUCGAGUCCGGUAGGGGAGCGUGGAAUUCCCGGUGUAGCGGUGAAAUGCGCAGAGAUCGGGAGGAACACCCGUAGCGAAGGCGGCGCUCUGGGCCGGUACUGACGCUGAGACGCGAAAGCGUGGGGAGCGAACAGG
rnacentral:rRNA from 1 species